CCGGAGGAAGAGAAAGCAAAUGCGAUUCCCUGAGUAGCGGCGAGCGAAACGGGAACAGCCCAAACCAAGAGGCUUGCCUCUUGGGGUUGUAGGACACUCUAUACGGAGUUACAAAGGAACGAUAUAAGCGAAGAGGUCUGGAAAGGCCCGCCAAAGAAGGUAACAGCCCUGUAACUGAAAUGUUGUUCUCUCCAGAGUGGAUCCUGAGUACGGCGGAACACGUGAAAUUCCGUCGGAAUCCGGGAGGACCAUCUCCCAAGGCUAAAUACUCCCUAGUGACCGAUAGUGAACCAGUACCGUGAGGGAAAGGUGAAAAGCACCCCGGAAGGGGAGUGAAAUAGAUCCUGAAACCGUGUGCCCACAAGUAGUCAGAGCCCGUUAAAGGGUGAUGGCGUGCCUUUUGUAGAAUGAACCGGCGAGUUACGAUCCCGUGCAAGGUUAAGCAGAAGAUGCGGAGCCGCAGCGAAAGCGAGUCUGAAUAGGGCGCAUGAGUACGUGGUCGUAGACCCGAAACCAGGUGAUCUACCCAUGUCCAGGGUGAAGUUCAGGUAACACUGAAUGGAGGCCCGAACCCACGCACGUUGAAAAGUGCGGGGAUGAGGUGUGGGUAGGGGUGAAAUGCCAAUCGAACCUGGAGAUAGCUGGUUCUCUCCGAAAUAGCUUUAGGGCUAGCCUCAAGGUAA
rnacentral:rRNA from 1 species